rnacentral:lncRNA from 10 species
AAGUGCCAUCUACUUGCUUGUAAGUUGAGUCAGACAGUUUAAUAUAAAAUCUGCUGACAGAGAGAAUAAGGCUAUAGAAGAAAAUCCAAAAGAACUUACCCAAUAUACUCUACAGUCACACCCCAUAGGAAGGGAGAGAAGGAUAAAGGAAAAGAAAUAAUAAGAAAAGGAAAAAUUCUAUCCACAGAAAAUAAUUUCAAAAAUUUAAAGUGGCAUCCUCUCCACAUGAGAAGGAACCAUCAUGAGAAUUCUGAUAUUAUGAAAUAUCUGAAUUUGUAAACCAUCAAAAGAUCUUGCUAGCUCUCCAGAAAUGAACCCUAACCAAAAUGGGAACUCAGAAAUGACAUAUAAAGAAUUCAAAAUAUAGAUUGCAAGGAAGAUCAAUGAGAUUCACGACAAGUUGAAAAUCAACACAAAGGAAC